CACAGGAAACACAAGGUAUCAGGAAGGGUAUACCCAGGGCAGGAUACCAUUCCAUCACAGGAAACACAAGGUAUCAGGAAGGGUAUACCCAGGGCAGGAUACCAUUCCAUCACAGGGAACACAAGGUAUCAGGAAGGGUAUACCCAGGACAGGAUACCAGUCCAUCACAGGAAACACAAGGUAUCAGGAAGGGUAUACCCAGGACAGGAUACCAGUCCAUCACAGGAAACACAAGGUAUCAGGAAGGGUAUACCCAGGGCAGGAUACCAUUCCAUCACAGGAAACACAAGGUAUCAGGAAGGGUAUACCCAGGGCAGGAUACCAGUCCAUCACAGGGAACACAAGGUAUCAGGAAGGGUAUACCCAGGGCAGGAUACCAGUCCAUCACAGGGAACACAAGGUAUCAGGAAGGGUAUACCCAGGGCAGGAUACCAGUCCAUCACAAGGAGCACAAGGUAUCAGGAAGGGUAUACCCAGGGCAGGAUACCAUUCCAUUACAGGGAACACAAGUUAUCAGGAAGGGUA